CUGGGUGUAGCGCAGUUUGGUUAGCGUGUUGGGUUUGGAACCCAAAGGUCGUAGGUUCAAACCCUACCACCCAGACCA
rnacentral:tRNA from 1 species